ACCAAAACCACGAGCACGGCCAGUGAUUCGAUCUUUCAUGAUCACAGCUUCAACUACAUCACCAAAAGCUUGAAAAUAUUCUCUGAGCCUAUCAUCAUUUGUGUCCCAAGAAAUCCCUCCAACAAAUACUUUGCCACUCUCCAUUUCCUCUCAAAAAGAUGAAGGCCCAGAUUGAGAAAAAAAAAGGAUUGAAAUUCAAGAUCUGCUAGAGAGGCAUAAAGCAAAAGGGUAGAGGGCUAAAAUGCCCUCUUUAUCUUUUUCCUCUUUAUUAUUUUUUGCUUCUUCCUAAGAUUUUUCAGUUUUGG
rnacentral:misc_RNA from 1 species